ACCUCAAUUCAUCAGGAGAGACCUAGUGUGGGUGUAGGGGUGCCUGAGGAGAAAGGGGUGCUGGUUCUUCCUUAUAUCCCCUGCCUGCCUCAGCUGGGCUCUGACCCAGCCAGCAGACUGGAGUCCUCUUCUGCAUGGUAAGGAAACUGAGGCUUAGAGGAGUUAUGAAAUUGCCCAAGGUUUCACAGCUGAAAUGUAUAAGGACCUGGACUUGCAAAUUUGGCACAAAGUUCUUCUAAUAAGAGGCCAUAAAAUAACCAAAUGAUUUUUUAUGUGCCUAUAGAACCAAAAGAACUAUUUCAGAAUGUCAGCUGAAAAGCACGAUAUUCCAGAUAGCUUAGAAACCUUGGCAUAGUGCCUUCCUGGAAAUCCUGGAUUGCAUCUAAAACCAUGUGGCAGAGGGAGAAACAACAGACAGGACAUCCUGAGAAGACUCAGGCUGGGACGAAAGCUCUGCUCUCCAGGGACAAAGCAGCAGGGGACCAGCCAUGCUCAGAAAUACUCCACUGGCCAGUGCACAUUUUUUUGAGCAAUUUCACUUGCUUCCUCACCACCUGUCCCCCUAACACUUCU
rnacentral:lncRNA from 1 species